GACGAACGCUGGCGGCGUGCUUAACGCAUGCAAGUCGAACGGAAAGGCCCUGCUUUUGUGGGGUGCUCGAGUGGCGAACGGGUGAGUAACACGUGAGUAACCUGCCCUUGACUUUGGGAUAACUUCAGGAAACUGGGGCUAAUACCGGAUAGGAGCUCCUGCUGCAUGGUGGGGGUUGGAAAGUUUCGGCGGUUGGGGAUGGACUCGCGGCUUAUCAGCUUGUUGGUGGGGUAGUGGCUUACCAAGGCUUUGACGGGUAGCCGGCCUGAGAGGGUGACCGGCCACAUUGGGACUGAGAUACGGCCCAGACUCCUACGGGAGGCAGAAGUGGGGAAUAUUGCACAAUGGGCGGAAGCCUGAUGCAGCAACGCCGCGUGCGGGAUGACGGCCUUCGGGUUGUAAACCGCUUUCGCCUGUGACGAAGCGUGAGUGACGGUAAUGGGUAAAGAAGCACCGGCUAACUACGUG
rnacentral:rRNA from 1 species